rnacentral:lncRNA from 1 species
CGGUGUCCUUUUUGUGCAAUACAGUACAGAAUACAUUCUGAAACUUGUGUUGGGGAGGAUUCCAUGUCUGUUGAGGCCCAUGUGAAUGUGCUACAAAUUGAGUAUCGGAAAACUCAUCCAGACAUCUCGACUGUCCAAGACCACAUGGCACGAACAUUCUCCUGGAGACGUUGAGAAAGCAUGGAAGGAAUGUCUGUGGAGGAUGUACUCAAAAAAUACCCAUACUUAAGGACACCUGCUGGAGGGGACCCUGCUACACCCUUUCCAACCAUACAACUGAUGGAUACUGACUGGAAAAUGGCAAUCAUAGGAGGAGGGCUCAGUGUGGUAAAAGUAGAUGGAAUAGAGAUGUGCCAGUGCACCAGCCUUGAUGAAGCCUUCAUAACAGCCUUCUGUAUGUAUUUUGCUUUCAACGUUGCAUAUCCACCACACCUGAAAAAGACACUGACUUUCCUUCAGAGGCACAUUGUCAACAUUGUGGAAGAGGGAGACAAGCUGCUGCCAGUAACUUUACUCCGGAUGAUUCAGUGUGGUAAAAGUAGAUGGAAUAGAGAUGUGCCAGUGCACCAGCCUUGAUGAAGCCUUCAUAACAGCCUUCUGUAUGUAUUUUGCUUUCAACGUUGCAUAUCCACCACACCUGAAAAAGACACUGACUUUCCUUCAGAGGCACAUUGUCAACAUUGUGGAAGAGGGAGACAAGCCACUGC